GGGGAAUAUUGCACAAUGGGCGCAAGCCUGAUGCAGCCAUGCCGCGUGUGUGAAGAAGGCCUUCGGGUUGUAAAGCACUUUCAGCGAGGAGGAAGGGUAGUGUGUUAAUAGCACAUUGCAUUGACGUUACUCGCAGAGGAAGCACCGGCUAACUCCGUGCCAGCAGCCGCGGUAAUACGGAGGGUGCAAGCGUUAAUCGGAAUUACUGGGCGUAAAGCGCACGCAGGCGGUUUGUUAAGUCAGAUGUGAAAUCCCCGCGCUUAACGUGGGAACUGCAUUUGAAACUGGCAAGCUAGAGUCUUGUAGAGGGGGGUAGAAUUCCAGGUGUAGCGGUGAAAUGCGUAGAGAUCUGGAGGAAUACCGGUGGCGAAGGCGGCCCCCUGGACAAAGACUGACGCUCAGGUGCGAAACGCGUGGGGAGCAAACAGGAUUAGAGUACCCA
rnacentral:rRNA from 1 species